rnacentral:rRNA from 1 species
UACGGAGGGUGCAAGCGUUAUCCGGAUUCACUGGGUUUAAAGGGUGCGUAGGCGGACAGGUAAGUCAGUGGUGAAAUCUCUGGGCUUAACUCAGAAACUGCCGUUGAUACUAUUUGUCUUGAAUAUUCUGGAGGUAAGCGGAAUAUGUCAUGUAGCGGAUGAAAUGCUUAGAUAUGACAUAGAACACCGAUAGCGAAGGCAGCUUGCUACACAAUUAUUGACACUGAGGCUCGGAAAGCGAUGGGGAUCAAACAGGAC